CUAAUGUAGGUACUAAAACACAAUAACCCAAAUCUAAUUGGAUUGAAUUUCAAAAUCCUCAAAAUCCUCAAAAUCCUAAUUCAAAGCUUUUGAAGCUCUCUCCAACUCGAUGCACAUACCUGGACUUAGUAGAUUGAUGCAGCUUGCAGGAGAAGAAAAACGGCAACCAAUGCGGCUCGCCGGAGCUCGCCGGAGGAAGAAGCCCGAAGAAGAAGUCGAAGCUUGAGCUCGAGCUCUUUUU
rnacentral:sRNA from 1 species